rnacentral:rRNA from 1 species
UUACCUCGGAUCAGGUGGAAUACCC